rnacentral:rRNA from 3 species
UACGUAUGUUCCAAGCGUUAUCCGGAUUUAUUGGGCGUAAAGCGAGCGCAGACGGUUAUUUAAGUCUGAAGUGAAAGCCCUCAGCUCAACUGAGGAAUUGCUUUGGAAACUGGAUGACUUGAGUGCAGUAGAGGAAAGUGGAACUCCAUGUGUAGCGGUGAAAUGCGUAGAUAUAUGGAAGAACACCAGUGGCGAAGGCGGCUUUCUGGACUGUAACUGACGUUGAGGCUCGAAAGUGUGGGUAGCAAACAGG